UCGGGUGUGUAUAGAGUGGCGAACGGGUGAGUAACACGUGACCAACCUGCCUCUUACAUUGGGACAACCAAAAGAAAUUCUGGCUAAUACCAAAUACUCCGCACAUAUCACAUGAUGUAUGCGGGAAAGCUUUUGCGGUAAGAGAUGGGGUCGCGGCCCAUUAGGUAGACGGCGGGGUAGAAGCCCACCGUGCCGAUGAUGGGUAGCCGGGUUGAGAGACCGACCGGCCACAUUGGGACUGAGAUACGGCCCAGACUCCUACGGGAGGCAGCAGUGGGGAAUAUUGCGCAAUGGGGGAAACCCUGACGCAGCAACGCCGCGUGCGGGAUGAAGGCCUUCGGGUUGUAAACCGCUUUCAGCAGGGAAGACAUCGACGGUACCUGCAGAAGAAGCCCCGGCUAACUACGUGCCAGCAGCCGCGGUAAUACGUAGGGGGCGAGCGUUAUCCGGAUUCAUUGGGCGUAAAGCGCGCGCAGGCGGUUGCUCAAGCGGAACCUCUAAUCUCGGGGCUUAACCUCGAGCCGGGUUCCGAACUGGACGACUCGAGUGCGGUAGAGGCAGAUGGAAUUCCCGGUGUAGCGGUGGAAUGCGCAGAUAUCGGGAAGAACACCAACGGCGAAGGCAGUCUGCUGGGCCGUCACUGACGCUGAGGCGCGAAAGCUGGGGGAGCGAACAGGAUUAGAUACCCUGGUAGUCCCAGCCGUAAACGAUGAGCGCUGGGUGUGGGAGAUUACAUCUUCCGUGCCGAAGCUAACGCAUUA
rnacentral:rRNA from 1 species